CCUACGGGGAGCAGCAGUGGGGAAUAUUGCACAAUGGGGGAAACCCUGAUGCAGCGACGCCGCGUGAGUGAAGAAGUAUUUCGGCAUGUAAAGCUCUAUCAGCAGGGAAGAAGCAAGACGGUACCUGACUAAGAAGCCCCGGCUAACUACGUGCCAGCAGCCGCGGUAAUACGUAGGGGGCAAGCGUUAUCCGGAUUUACUGGGUGUAAAGGGAGCGUAGACGGCUGUGCAAGUCUGAAGUGAAAGCCCAGGGCUCAACCCUGGGACUGCUUUGGAAACUGUGGAGCUAGAGUGCUGGAGAGGUAAGUGGAAUUCCUGGUGUAGCGGUGAAAUGUGUAGAUAUUAGGAGGAACCCCAGUGGCGAAGGCGGCUUACUGGACAGUAACUGACGUUGAGGCUCGAAAGCGUGGGGAGCGAACAGGAUUAGAUACCCGUGUAGUC
rnacentral:rRNA from 1 species